rnacentral:lncRNA from 1 species
AUGAUCGUUACCUUCUUAGAUCUUACAUUGAAGACAAUAAAAAGCCGCGUUAGAAUCCAGAAGGAUAAUCCUUUACGGAAAUUUCCUCACAGAGACCACAUAUGUGAUAGCCACUAUUUUGCUCUGAGAGAUGUUCUCAAAGGUUUGCCGUGGAAUGGACAAGGUAUUGAUCCAAGCAAAUGGGAUUCUGUGUUUGAAAGUUUUGAGCAAGUCGAUCCAUCGACUACCCGACUUUGA